GACAGAGGGUGCAAACGUUGCUCGGAAUCACUGGGCGUAAAGGGUGCGUAGGCGGGUCUUUAAGUCAGGGGUGAAAUCCUGGAGCUCAACUCCAGAACUGCCUUUGAUACUGAAGAUCUUGAGUUCGGGAGAGGUGAGUGGAACUGCGAGUGUAGAGGUGAAAUUCGUAGAUAUUCGCAAGAACACCAGUGGCGAAGGCGGCUCACUGGCCCGAUACUGACGCUGAGACACGAAAGCGUGGGGAGCGAACAGG
rnacentral:rRNA from 1 species